rnacentral:rRNA from 1 species
UACGUAGGGGGCGAGCGUUGUCCGGAAUCAUUGGGCGUAAAGAGCGUGUAGGCGGUUCGGUAAGUCUGCCGUGAAAACCUGGGGCUCAACCCUGGGCGUGCGGUGGAAACUGUCGAGCUAGAGGAUGGUAGAGGGGAGUGGAAUUCCCGGUGUAGUGGUGAAAUGCGUAGAUAUCGGGAGGAACACCAGUGGCGAAGGCGACUUCCUGGCCUGUUCUUGACGCUGAGGCGCGAAAGCUAGGGGAGCAAACGGG